CAUAUAAGUCACAAAAAAUAUUUCAAAAUAACGAAUUGAUUGAAAAGAAAACUUCAUUCAUAAAAUUUGAUUUUCUAUCAAGAGUAAAGACAAUAAAACAUAACCAUCUCACAAAUAAAACGAGAAACACGGCUAAAAAAUAAGAAAAUUAAAAAAAAGAAAAGAAUGGUCGAAUGAAGAGAAAACAGUGUUGAAGGUUUUCUCAUGGAGCGAUGGCGCUACGUGUGUAGCAAUAACUAAUUAAUGUGUUCUUUUCAAAGUUUAGUGAUCCUUUGCAUGCAUGUGCAUAUUUAUUUAUGUGUGUGUGUGUGUGUGUGCGUGUAAUUUUGUGCAAUAUAUAUAAAAACAUCUCAACCUCAAUAUUGGCGGCCUACUUAAUAUUACUGCUGUUUUUGUGAUUAAUACGUACAAUAAUUACAUGUAUUCGUACAUAUAUAUAUAUAAGAUAAAUAACACAAACACACACAGUCCAAAAG